UAUACUAUACUUUCAGGGAUCAUUUCUAUAGUUCGUUACUACAGAAGUCUUUCUGAAUGUGUAGAGCACUGGAAACCACCAGGAGGAGGCGCAGCGUUCUCUCCUGAGCACGAAGCCAUUCUUGGUAUUGCUUUCUGUAAUUGCCACUUGCCAUUGCUGAUCAUUUUUCUCUCCCUUCGGGGGAGUAAGAGGGAGAGAAGCAGUCUGAGUGGU
rfam:Otolemur garnettii contig056121, whole genome shotgun sequence.